GGGGAAUAUUGGACAAUGGGCGCAAGCCUGAUCCAGCCAUGCCGCGUGGGUGAAGAAGGCCUUCGGGUUGUAAAGCCCUUUUGUUGGGAAAGAAAAGCAGCCGGCCAAUACCCGGUUGUUCUGACGGUACCCAAAGAAUAAGCACCGGCUAACUUCGUGCCAGCAGCCGCGGUAAUACGAAGGGUGCAAGCGUUACUCGGAAUUACUGGGCGUAAAGCGUGCGUAGGUGGUUUCGUAAGACAGACGUGAAAUCCCCGGGCUCAACCUGGGAACUGCGUUUGUGACUGCGAGGCUAGAGUACGGCAGAGGGGGGUAGAAUUCCACGUGUAGCAGUGAAAUGCGUAGAGAUGUGGAGGAAUACCGAUGGCGAAGGCAGCCCCCUGGGUUAGUACUGACGCUCAUGCACGAAAGCGUGGGGAGCAAACA
rnacentral:rRNA from 1 species